GGCCCCGUAGCUCAGAGGAUAGAGCAGCGGUUUCCUAAACCGUGUGUCGGACGUUCGACUCGUCUCGGGGCCGCCA
rnacentral:tRNA from 1 species